rnacentral:misc_RNA from 1 species
CAUGUGACUUAUGACAUGUUACAUGAUUCUAUUUUAAAAGAAUGAUUAAAAUGUAACGAUUCUUGUAUUUUAUAUGUACUGGAUGAGGCAUACAUGUACAUGUAUACCGUAUGUUGUUUGAAAGGAACAUAAAUUAUACAUAGUAAGCCUAAUUUAUUUGACAGCUGUCAUUAAACUCCUAGGCAGAAAAUUUUUAAUGUUUGGUAAAACAAAAAUAUUUUUAAAACAUAUUAUAUCCCAUUUAAUCACUUGUUUCAGAAAGCUUUAUGAUCUGUAAUGGAUUUAUAAAAUACUUACCCUGAAGGAUUCAAUUCUUGCAAAAAAAACUAUAUAUUCAGUUAAAUCAUUAACUUUUGUUUUGGUCAGUUGUUGGUUGUUUUUUUUUAGUUCAGACAUUUACCACUGAGCAUGAAAGAUAUAUAGGAGGAUGCUGUUGUUUGUGAUAUAACUUUGUGCGUUAUGAAUGAAUGAGUUAUUAUUUAGAAGACAAUUGUAUUAGCAGAUGUAUUGCCCUUUCUGAAUUUGAUAAUCAUCUGCCAAUUUUAAAAUAAACAAAUCAAAUUAC